GUCCUAGCUGUAAACGAUGAGCACUUAUCUGGGGACCCUCCCAUAGGUUCCCGGAUGUAGCGAAAGUGUUAAGUGCUCCGCCUGGGGAGUAUGGUCGCAAGGCUGAAACUCAAAGAAAUUGACGGGGGCUCACACAAGCGGUGGAGGAUGUGGCUUAAUUCGAGGCUACGCGAAGAACCUUAUCCAGGUCUUGACAUGUACGGAUUAACCCGGUGAAAGCCGGGCCACGCCUUCGGUGGAACGUGCACAGGUGCUGCAUGGUUGUCGU
rnacentral:rRNA from 1 species